rnacentral:rRNA from 5 species
UGGGGAAUAUUGGACAAUGGGCGCAAGCCUGAUCCAGCCAUGCCGCGUGAGUGAUGAAGGCCCUAGGGUUGUAAAGCUCUUUCACCGGAGAAGAUAAUGACGGUAUCCGGAGAAGAAGCCCCGGCUAACUUCGUGCCAGCAGCCGCGGUAAUACGAAGGGGGCUAGCGUUGUUCGGAAUUACUGGGCGUAAAGCGCACGUAGGCGGAUCGAUCAGUCAGGGGUGAAAUCCCAGGGCUCAACCCUGGAACUGCCUUUGAUACUGUCGAUCUGGAGUAUGGAAGAGGUGAGUGGAAUUCCGAGUGUAGAGGUGAAAUUCGUAGAUAUUCGGAGGAACACCAGUGGCGAAGGCGGCUCACUGGUCCAUUACUGACGCUGAGGUGCGAAAGCGUGGGGAGCAAACAGG